rnacentral:rRNA from 1 species
UGGGGAAUAUUGGACAAUGGGCGCAAGCCUGAUCCAGCAAUGCCGCGUGUGUGAAGAAGGCCUGCGGGUUGUAAAGCACUUUGGGCGGGGAGGAAGGCCUCCGGGAUAACACCCCGGGGGAUUGACGUUACCCGCAGAACAAGCACCGGCUAACUCCGUGCCAGCAGCCGCGGUAAUACGGAGGGUGCGAGCGUUAAUCGGAAUUACUGGGCGUAAAGCGCGCGUAGGCGGCCCGGCCAGUCCGACGUGAAAGCCCCGGGCUCAACCUGGGAACUGCGUUGGAUACUGCCGGGCUGGAGUGUGGGAGAGGGGUGUGGAAUUUCCGGUGUAGCAGUGAAAUGCGUAGAGAUCGGAAGGAACACCAGUGGCGAAGGCGGCACCCUGGACCAACACUGACGCUGAGGUGCGAAAGCGUGGGGAGCAAACA